CCUACGGGAGGCAGCAGUGAGGAAUAUUGGUCAAUGGGCGAGAGCCUGAACCAGCCAAGUCGCGUGAGGGAGUACUGCCCUAUGGGUUGUAAACCUCUUUUGUCGGGGAGCAAAAGCCGGACGUGUCCGGCUGUGAGAGUACCCGAAGAAAAAGCAUCGAUUAACUCCGUGCCAGCAGCCGCGGUAAUACGGAGGAUGCGAGCGUUAUCCGGAUUUAUUGGGUUUAAAGGGUGCGCAGGCGGAUUUUUAAGUCAGCGGUAAAAUCGUGGGGCUCAACCCCAUCCAGCCGUUGAAACUGGGGAUCUAGAGUGUGCGAGAGGUAUGCGGAAUGCGUGGUGUAGCGGUGAAAUGCAUAGAUAUCACGCAGAACCCCGAUUGCGAAGGCAGCAUACCGGUGCACAACUGACGCUCAGGCACGAAAGCGUGGGUAUCGAACAGGAUUAGAUACCCUUGUAGUC
rnacentral:rRNA from 1 species